AAAUGAAUUGACGGGGGCCCGCACAAGCAGUGGAGUAUGUGGUUUAAUUCGACGAUACGCGAAGAACCUUACCAAGACUUGACAUCCUACUAACGAAGCAGAAAUGCAUUAGGUGCCUUUCGGGGAAAGUAGAGACAGGUGGUGCAUGGUUGUCGUCAGCUCGUGUCGUGAGAUGUUGGGUUAAGUCCCGCAACGAGCGCAACCCUUACGGUUAGUUGCUACGCAAGAGCACUCUAGCCGGACUGCCGUUGACAAAACGGAGGAAGGUGGGGAUGAUGUCAAAUCAUCAUGCCCCUUAUGUCUUGGGCUACACACGUACUACAAUGGCCGCUAACAACGGGACGCAAUGGCGCGAGCCGGAGCCAAACCCCAAAAGCGGUCUCAGUUCAGAUUGCAGGCUGAAAUUCGCCUGCAUGAAGGCGGAAUUGCUAGUAAUCGCGGAUCAGCAUGCCGCGGUGAAUACGUUCCCGGGCCUUGCACACACCGCCCGU
rnacentral:rRNA from 1 species